rnacentral:pre_miRNA from 1 species
UUAACUCAAAUUUGUAUGGAGUUGGAACGUUUGCCUACGUUUGGCGCUAGGGGUGCUGUUCCAACUGCAUUCAAAUUUGAGUUA